UCAGAUUGAACGCUGCGGCAGGCCUAACACAUGCAAGUCGAGCGGAAACGAGUUAUCUGAACCUUCGGGGAACGAUAACGGCGUCGAGCGGCGGACGGGUGAGUAAUGCCUAGGAAAUUGCCCUGAUGUGGGGGAUAACCAUUGGAAACGAUGGCUAAUACCGCAUAAUGCCUACGGGCCAAAGAGGGGGACCUUCGGGCCUCUCGCGUCAGGAUAUGCCUAGGUGGGAUUAGCUAGUUGGUGAGGUAAUGGCUCACCAAGGCGACGAUCCCUAGCUGGUCUGAGAGGAUGAUCAGCCACACUGGAACUGAGACACGGUCCAGACUCCUACGGGAGGCAGCAGUGGGGAAUAUUGCACAAUGGGCGCAAGCCUGAUGCAGCCAUGCCGCGUGUGUGAAGAAGGCCUUCGGGUUGUAAAGCACUUUCAGUCGUGAGGAAGGUGGUGUUGUUAAUAGCUGCUAUUAUUUGACGUUAGCGACAGAAGAAGCACCGGCUAACUCCGUGCCAGCAGCCGCGGUAAUACGGAGGGUGCGAGCGUUAAUCGGAAUUACUGGGCGUAAAGCGCAUGCAGGUGGUUUGUUAAGUCAGAUGUGAAAGCCCGGGGCUCAACCUCGGAAUAGCAUUUGAAACUGGCAGACUAGAGUACUGUAGAGGGGGGUAGAAUUUCAGGUGUAGCGGUGAAAUGCGUAGAGAUCUGAAGGAAUACCGGUGGCGAAGGCGGCCCCCUGGACAGAUACUGACACUCAGAUGCGAAAGCGUGGGGAGCAAACAGGAUUAGAUACCCUGGUAGUCCACGCCGUAAACGAUGUCUACUUGGAGGUUGUGGCCUUGAGCCGUGGCUUUCGGAGCUAACGCGUUAAGUAGACCGCCUGGGGAGUACGGUCGCAAGAUUAAAACUCAAAUGAAUUGACGGGGGCCCGCACAAGCGGUGGAGCAUGUGGUUUAAUUCGAUGCAACGCGAAGAACCUUACCUACUCUUGACAUCCAGAGAACUUUCCAGAGAUGGAUUGGUGCCUUCGGGAACUCUGAGACAGGUGCUGCAUGGCUGUCGUCAGCUCGUGUUGUGAAAUGUUGGGUUAAGUCCCGCAACGAGCGCAACCCUUAUCCUUGUUUGCCAGCGAGUAAUGUCGGGAACUCCAGGGAGACUGCCGGUGAUAAACCGGAGGAAGGUGGGGACGACGUCAAGUCAUCAUGGCCCUUACGAGUAGGGCUACACACGUGCUACAAUGGCGCAUACAGAGGGCAGCAAGCUAGCGAUAGUGAGCGAAUCCCAAAAAGUGCGUCGUAGUCCGGAUUGGAGUCUGCAACUCGACUCCAUGAAGUCGGAAUCGCUAGUAAUCGUGGAUCAGAAUGCCACGGUGAAUACGUUCCCGGGCCUUGUACACACCGCCCGUCACACCAUGGGAGUGGGCUGCAAAAGAAGUAGGUAGUUUAACCUUCGGGAGGACGCU
rnacentral:rRNA from 1 species